UACGUAGGGUGCAAGCGUUGUCCGGAAUUAUUGGGCGUAAAGAGCUUGUAGGCGGUUUGUCGCGUCUGCUGUGAAAUUUCGGGGCUCAACCCCGAACUUGCAGUGGGUACGGGCAGACUAGAGUGCGGUAGGGGAGACUGGAAUUCCUGGUGUAGCGGUGAAAUGCGCAGAUAUCAGGAGGAACACCGAUGGCGAAGGCAGGUCUCUGGGCCACUACUGCGUGAGAAGCGAAAGCAUGGGGAGCGAACAGG
rnacentral:rRNA from 1 species